rnacentral:rRNA from 1 species
UGGAUCCAGACUUUGAUUAUGGCUCAGGAUGAACGCUAGCUACAGGCUUAACACAUGCGAGUCGAGGGGAAACGAUAUUGGAAGCUUGCUUCCGAUAGGCGUCGACCGGCGCACAGGUGAGUAACGCGUAUCCAACCUGCCCACCACUUGGGGAUAACCUUGCGAAAGUAAGACUAAUACCCAAUGAUAUCUCUAGAAGACAUCUGAAAGGGAUUAAAGAUUUAUCGGUGAUGGAUGGGGAUGCGUCUGAUUAGCUUGUUGGCGGGGUAACGGCCCACCAAGGCGACGAUCAGUAGGGGUUCUGAGAGGAAGGUCCCCCACAUUGGAACUGAGACACGGUCCAAACUCCUACGGGAGGCAGCAGUGAGGAAUAUUGGUCAAUGGGCGAGAGCCUGAACCAGCCAAGCAGCGCGCAGGAUGACGGCCCUAUGGGUUGUAAACUGCUUUUAUAAGGGAAUAAAGUGAGUCUCGUGAGACUUUUUGCAUGUACCUUAUGAAUAAGGACCGGCUAAUUCCGCGCCAGCAGCCGCGGUAAUACGGAAGGUCCGGGCGUUAUCCGGAUUUAUUGGGUUUAAAGGGAGCGUAGGCCGGAGAUUAAGCGUGUUGUGAAAUGUAGACGCUCAACGUCUGCACUGCAGCGCGAACUGGUUUCCUUGAGUACGCACAAAGUGGGCGGAAUUCGUGGUGUAGCGGUGAAAUGCUUAGAUAUCACGAAGAACUCCGAUUGCGAAGGCAGCUCACUGGAGCGCAACUGACGCUGAAGCUCGAAAGUGCGGGUAUCGAACAGGAUUAGAUACCCUGGUAGUCCGCACGGUAAACGAUGGAUGCCCGCUGUUGGUCUGAAUAGGUCAGCGGCCAAGCGAAAGCAUUAAGCAUCCCACCUGGGGAGUACGCCGGCAACGGUGCAACUCAAAGGAAUUGACGGA